UAUAAUCUCUGUUAGGCUAUAAUUACAUUUUUAUUAUUUUACACUAAGUCCUUCUGUUGUCAAUUUGGAGUUGUAUUGAAUUUGUUGUCCAUCCAUCCAUCCAUCCAUUUCUUACCGCUUGUCCCUUUUGGGGUCGCGGGUGGUCGGUGGAGCCUAUCUCAGCUGCAUUCGGGCGGUAGGCGGGGUACACCCUGGACAAGUCGCCACCUCAUCGCAGGGCCAACACAGAUAGACAGACAACAUUCACACUCACAUUCACACACUAGGGCCAAUUUAGUGUUGCCAAUCAAGCUAUCCCCAGAUGCAUGUCUUUGGAGGUGGGAGGAAGCCGGAGUACCAGGAGGGAACCCACGCAGUCACGGGGAGAACAUGCAAACUCCACACAGAAAGAUCCAGAGCGCAGGAUCGAACCCCAGACCUUCGUAUUAAGAAUGGCUUCUCCCAGAUCUCUCACAACAGUCCUCCUGGAUGGCAGAGACAUUUUCAAGAAGACUUACACUCCUGGUAAUGUCAAGGACAUUACAGAGACGUGUACAUCUGCACUGUCGUGCAAAGCAGAAAUGACCAGAAUUCUGAAGUUCUGCUCAGAUUUUAACAGUGGCGUGCAGUCACUAGAGGCAGGGGAGGCACGGCCAUCAAAAUGGAGGACGAAAAUGAAAGAUAUGAACACUUCUAUGAUCCAACAAGCCACACUGGCUUUCUGGAAGAUAAGCUGAGGAAUGAUCCGCUGAAAACUAAGGGAUGAUCGACGGCGUUAUUGCAGAAGGGGUGGCUCAUCUGAAGUCACUGUUCGACUUGAAGAAGUUACAGAAAGUGAUGAGUCUGUCCAAGAAUGGAUAACUGUGAUCAUAAGGAUGAAGCCUAGUCCGGAGAACCUUUCUUCGAUCAAGAUGGAUCGACAGAGAGUUUGAGAAGAUAUUUCCAAACAAGGCAGACAUCUUUCUACGCAAACGGGACCCAACCAUGGUCCUAAAGUUGUUGAAGCUGGCUGCUCUUGAUAGAAAAGACAAACCACCAGAAGCUGAGAGUGCUGAAUCAAAGUGCUAUAGAGCACUGAAGAUGCUCACACAUUAUCUGCCCCCUACUGUGUCAGGAAGAUCUAAGGGAUGGACAAAAUGCAGCAUCAAAUCAGCUCUGUCCUACAUGUUGGACAAUAAACAACCAGGAACAAGCUUCCAUUACCUCCUACAAACCACUGACCCUGUUCCAGUGAUGCAACCUCGUCUGGUGAGCAUUGGACAUCCCAGCACAACAUCAACACAAUAUGUCAUCGUGGCUGCCAAUGACUACGUAGUCAUUUCACUCCAGGAAGAGGGUCUUCAAAUUGUAUUGGGUUUGUAACCUUGCCUGUUUGGUAAAGUAUGAGUUGUUGAUUGAAAAAAUGGCAGCCUGUGGACAUGAUUUAAACAUUUUGAGUAUGAUAAGUGUGGCCAGUUGUGUGUCUAUAUUUGGUCAUUGCUACAGACCUGGUUGUGUGGUUUCCUUAAAAUGUGAUGUGAACAACGAACAUACGUAACUUUGGAGAGACAGUGAUGAGGUGUUCAUUUUGUUGAGAGUUCUCACUGUUAAGUAUUUUGAUGACCACCUUCACACUUAUGUGAUUAAAAAGACAAAUUAAUUCCAAGUGAUUAAUCUGAAAGAUGCAACUGAUGCUUUGCCACUUGAUGUAUAUGAGCUGAGAGAUUCUGAAUUUCACUUACUGACAA